UGGAAAGCCAAAGGGGACCCCCGCUAAAAUACAUAUACUUAUAUAGUAAAUAUCGGGAUUGUCAUUUUUCGCGGAACUUUCACUUUCCGCGAAAAACCAAUGCCAGCAUGGCCAUAAAACACUACAUACAAAUCGAAGUCUAAAAAGCGCGGAACUUUCAUAUAUUUUCCGUCGGAGCAAUUAUUUUUCAACCCUGUAGAAAAAGCGGGCUCAAUUAAUCGCGCGGAACCUUAUUUAUCUACUCUGUACAAAUAGUAGUGUUUAAAAUCGCGCGGAGAUUGUACAAUGCUAUUUUAAGAAGUCUAUUAAAGAGAGAAAAUCCAGUAAAUACCAGAUCCAAAAAGCGCGGAACACAAAUAUCGUCCAAGAAAAUUAAGCAUUGAAUUACCGUACAAAUCUCGGGUUGUUAGGUGUUAGAAUCCCUAGUUACCCGAAAAAUUUGAUUGGAUCCGAUACUUAGAAAUAACCAAUCAGAUACUUUGUAACAAAUGCAACACAAUCAGUGCGUUCAGUAAGUAUAACGUUUCAAGAUGGCGGAGCGAAUUGCAUGGUUGUUGUUUCUACUCGAUGGAUUCGCAGAUAAUUCGGAAAUAGAUCAGAUUGGGAUCAAUAACUUUAUUGCAUACGAUCAUUUACAUGUAUUACUAGGUGUGUGUUGCCAGUAAUGGUUGAAGAUAUGCCAAACAAAUUGUGGCUCUCUAUACAGACAGAUUUCAGGUCUCAAUUUCGACUUCAAAGGUCAACAUAUCACUGAUAUCAGGAAUUCUGUGAAUUUGUGGCACCAUGUAUGGUACGUGAGCGCAAAAUGUCUGUUGGAAAAAGGAUAUUGGAAUAAGCAAAGGGACACAACAUUUCACAGUCAUUUCAACAUGUAGAGUCUUGUCAGCAAUGAUGGAGCAGUACAUCAGAUUUCCAGAAUCUCGUCAUGAGCUUAAGAUCAUUGCCUAUGGAUUUUAUCAAUGAUGUAAAAUGAUUGGACUGUUGAUGGAACCCACAGUGCAUGUCCUGCUUCAACAUCUGAGCAUAGGUCCUUGUUUAUCGGCAGUUUAGUUCUUCAAGCAGUCUGUGACAGUAACUUGAAAUGUUUGGACAUAUGCCCUGGAUGGCCAAGUUCUGUGCAUGAUGCCCAUUUAAAUAGGAACGGCCCAGUGGCGCAUUAAAUGGACAAUCGUUCGAAUGUUCUGGAAGAUUCAGCUUACCGCCUGACAAGAAAUCUUGCUUUUUGUUCCGUAUCGAGGCCAUGGACAUUUGUAUCAUUUGCAAAAGAUACAGCGAUAUUUGUGCCUUUGUUCAUGCUUUAUAGUUGAUUCACAAUUGGAAGCCAUAACCUGUUUUAUAGGAUGGUGUUAGUGGGACAAUGAAUUUUGUAAAGAUUUAAAGACUGGAAAAGAUAAUUAAAAGUCAAAAGAGUUCUGCUAUUGUUAAGCAUGCUUUAUUGAUGUGUAAUGUUAGAAAAAUAGCAUUAUUAACAGAAUAAAAUGUCCAUAAUUUGAA